rnacentral:snoRNA from 1 species
UGUGGGUAAGUGAUGAAUAUAUUUUGUCAAAUGGGUAAUUUGCAUCUGAAUUUUUCUAUGUUGCUAAAACACCUUGGAGAACUGAUGCCCUUU